GGCCAUCAUGUAUUUCAAUAUGAUCUAUUUAAGGAAAAAAGUGGAUUUGAGAAAAUUUUAUUUUUGUAAAACACUAACUUAUUAAAACUCACCAAACAAGAGUUUUUAUCACUUGCCAUAAUUUUAUAAAAUUUCAACCAAAUUUCCUCCUUAACAAACAAAACCUAGAGCUUCCUGAAUCCGGAUUUUAACUGUUAGUCAACCUGGGCUUAAAAAGUCAAGAAAAGUAAUAAUGGGAGCAGAAAUACCAGUUAUAGGAUUACUAUGGAUUUAGUGGGCGGUAUAAUAUUUGAAAAUGUUGGUAUGUACCUCCACCCCUUAUGUGGCCGGUCAACACACUGCGUUAAGUUAUGCGCCGACCCAGCAACCGUGAACUUUAUUUACCCGUGACGUGACCCGACCCAGCAACAGGGGAUAAGUUCACCACCGAUAUAGUCGUAAAUACGCCGAACAACCAAAUCCCAGUUUUAUUUUUCAAAUAAACAAUUCGACCCAAAACCAAAACCUUCUUCUCUUUCUCAGUGUCUGUCCCAUAGAAGAAGAAGAAGAAGAAGAAGAAGAAGAAGAAGAAGAAGAAGAAGAAGAAGAAGAAGAAGAAGAAGAAGAAGAAGAAGAAGAAGAAGAAGAAGAAGAAGAAGAAGAAGAAGAAGAAGAAGAAGAAGAAGAAGAAGAAGAAGAAGAAGAAGAAGAAGAAGAAGAAGAAGAAGAAGAAGAAGAAGAAGAAGAAGAAGAAGAAGAAGAAGAAGAAGAAGAAGAAGAAGAAGAAGAAGAAGAAGAAGAAGAAGAAGAAGAAGAAGAAGAAGAAGAAGAAGAAGAAGAAGAAGAAGAAGAAGAAGAAGAAGAAGAAGAAGAAGAAGAAGAAGAAGAAGAAGAAGAAGAAGAAGAAGAAGAAGAAGAAGAAGAAGAAGAAGAAGAAGAAGAAGAAGAAGAAGAAGAAGAAGAAGAAGAAGAAGAAGAAGAAGAAGAAGAAGAAGAAGAAGAAGAAGAAGAAGAAGAAGAAGAAGAAGAAGAAGAAGAAGAAGAAGAAGAAGAAGAAGAAGAAGAAGAAGAAGAAGAAGAAGAAGAAGAAGAAGAAGAAGAAGAAGAAGAAGAAGAAGAAGAAGAAGAAGAAGAAGAAGAUCGGUCAUCACCACUCUGCACCUUCUCAAAUCUUCUUCUUUUUCUUCUCUGCCCACUCCUCUCCUUCUCUCUCUCUCUCAUCAUCAAUCAUAUCUUGUUUAUUUUUUUGUCAUUAUAAGAUACAUUCAUCUUCCCCACUCCCAUCAAACUUAACAAACCCCUCCAUAUCCCUAUUUUUCUUAAAUCCCACCCACCUUCCCCCAAAAAAAAUGAAAGGAGAAGAAUAUCUAGAACAACCACCACAUCAUCAUCAUCAUCCAAAUCCAAAGCAUGACAAUACUACUAAUAUGUUCUCCAAACUUCACCCCCACCGCCACCAAAACCCUAACCCAAAUCCUUUCCCUCACCACCAAGACCAUGACCUCCCUCCCUCCGACCACCCCAACUCCAGCGAUGGCGGCGGCGCUACUAUCGAGGUCGUCCGCCGCCCUCGAGGCCGCCCACCUGGAUCCAAAAACAAACCAAAACCACCCAUAAUCAUCACCCGGGUAGACCCAGCUGAACCGCCCANNNN
rnacentral:lncRNA from 1 species